UACGUAGGGGGCUAGCGUUGUCCGGAUUUAUUGGGCGUAAAGAGCGUGUAGGCGGCCAGGUAGGUCUGGUGUGAAAACUCGAGGCUUAACCUCGAGAUGUCAUCGGAAACCAUCUGGCUAGAGUCCGGAAGAGGAGAGUGGAAUUCCUGGUGUAGCGGUGAAAUGCGUAGAUAUCUGGAGGAACACCGGUGGCGAAGGCGGCGUUCUGGACUGCAACUGACACUGAGAAACGAAAGCCAGGGUAGCAAACGGG
rnacentral:rRNA from 1 species